AUACCUUUCUCGACCUUUUAGCUCAUACUCGUGUAGUAUAUGUUCUUAUUAGUUUGAUAUUUAAUGUGAAUUAUUGAAUCACAUGAUAUUAAAUUUAUUUUUUGAAAAGGAUGACAUAUUAAGGUAGCUUGCUAUCUAGGCCUUUUAAGCGUUGCUAGCGUGUUACACUAUUACACAGAUCUGGCACAUCCAAC